GGGGAUGAACUUUGGCAUCGAUAAGGAUGGGUCGUGGAUCGGCGAGUCGAGAGCCGUCUCGCUAAACCGGCACCAAACAUAACUGCCAACUUCAAAGUUGCACAGCCCGCUUACGCUUACGCGUAACGGGGAUCGCCCGGCCUGGGCCUCUUAGUCCGGUCGCGGUCUUAUACAAGGGGGCUAAUUCCCUGAUAGAGAGCUCCGCCUCUCCAGGGACCGAAAACCACGCGGAGCACUGACUCCGGUCAGACCUGCCCUGAGUUCAUCGAAGGGCUACGCUCGUAGAUGAUCCAACGUCCCCCUCCUUAGACGGCGGUUCGAAUCCGCCCAUCUCCACUU
rnacentral:tmRNA from 1 species